UAAGCCAUGUGAGUCGAGAGGUUCAAGACCUCGGCGUACUGCUCAGUAACACGUGGACAAUCUGCCCUGAAGUGGAGAAUAAUCCCGGGAAACUGGGGGUAAUACUCCAUAGUUCGUUAUUACUGGAAUGUUUUUCGAACGAAAGAUCCGUCGCUUCAGGAUGAGUCUGCGGCCGAUUAGGUAGUUGUUGGGGUAAUUGCCCAACAAGCCUGUAAUCGGUACGGGUUGUGGGAGCAAGAGCCCGGAGAUGGAUUCUGAGACACGAAUCCAGGCCCUACGGGGCGCAGCAGGCGCGAAAACUUUACCAUGCGGGCAACCGUGAUAAGGAAACCCCGAGUGCCAGCACAGGCUGGCUGUCCGCCAGUUUAAACAACUGGCGAAGAAAGGGCCGGGCAAGACCGGUGCCAGCCGCCGCGGUAAUACCGGCGGCUCGAGUGGUGGCCGCUAUUACUGGGCUUAAAGGGUCCGUAGCUUGAUAAUAGGGUCCCUUGAGAAAUCCGCCGGCUUAACUGGCGGGCGUUCAGGGGAAACUUGUUUUCUAGGGACCGGGAGAGGUGAGGGGUACUGCCGGGGUAGGAGUGAAAUCCUGUAAUCCCGGUGGGACCACCUAUGGCGAAGGCAUCUCACCAGAACGGGUCCGACAGUGAGGGACGAAAGCUGGGGGAGCAAACCGGAUUAGAUACCCGGGUAGUCCCAGCUGUAAACUAUGCUCGCUAGGUGUCAGGCAUGGCGCGACCGUGUCUGGUGCCGCAGGGAAGCCGUGAAGCGAGCCACCUGGGAAGUACGGCCGCAAGGCUGAAACUUAAAGGAAUUGGCGGGGGAGCACAACAACGGGUGGAGCCUGCGGUUUAAUUGGACUCAACGCCGGACAACUCACCGGGGACGACAGCAAUAUGUAGGCCAGGCUGAAGACCUUGCCUGAAUCGCUGAGAGGAGGUGCAUGGCCGUCGCCAGUUCGUACUGUGAAGCAUCCUGUUAAGUCAGGCAACGAGCGAGACCCA
rnacentral:rRNA from 1 species